rnacentral:misc_RNA from 1 species
GAUGAAGAACGUAGCGAAAUGCGAUAAGUAAUGCGAAUUGCAGAAUUCAGUGAAUCAUCGAAUCUUUGAACGCACAUUGCGCCCGCCAGUAUUCUGGCGGGCAUGCCUGUUCGAGCGUCAUUUCAACCCUCAAGCACAGCUUGGUGUUGGGACUCGCGUUAAUUCGCGUUCCUCAAAUUGAUUGGCGGUCACGUCGAGCUUCCAUAGCGUAGUAGUAAAACCCUCGUUACUGGUAAUCGUCGCGGCCACGCCGUUAAACCCCAACUUCUGAAUGUUGACCUCGGAUCAGGUAGGAAUACCCGCUGAACUUAAGCAUAUCAAUAAGCGGAGGA